rnacentral:rRNA from 1 species
CAGUAGCCGCGGGAAUACGGAGGGUGCAAGCGUUAAUCGGAAUUACUGGGCGUAAAGCGUGCGUAGGCGGUUCGUUAAGUCUGCUGUGAAAGCCCCGGGCUCAACCUGGGAAUGGCAGUGGAUACUGGCGAGCUAGAGUGUGUCAGAGGAUGGUGGAAUUCCCGGUGUAGCGGUGAAAUGCGUAGAGAUCGGGAGGAACAUCAGUGGCGAAGGCGGCCAUCUGGGACAACACUGACGCUGAGGCACGAAAGCGCGGGGAGCAAACAGGAUUAGAUACCCGCGUAGUCCCUGUCUCUUAUAA